UACGUAGGGGGCAAGCGUUGUCCGGAUUUAUUGGGCGUAAAGAGCGUGUAGGCGGCUUUGCAAGUCCGUUGUGAAAACUCGAGGCUCAACCUCGAGACGCCGGUGGAAACUGCAAAGCUAGAGUCCGGAAGAGGAGAGUGGAAUUCCUGGUGUAGCGGUGAAAUGCGCAGAUAUCAGGAAGAACACCCGUGGCGAAGGCGGCUCACUGGCCCGGUACUGACGCUGAGGUGCGAAAGCGUGGGGAGCAAACAGG
rnacentral:rRNA from 1 species